rnacentral:rRNA from 1 species
GAUUAACGCUGGCGGCAUGCCUAAUACAUGCAAAUCGAACGAAGCCUUUUUGGCUUAGUGGUGAACGGGUGAGUAACACGUAUCCAAUCUACCCUUAAGUUUGGGAUAACUAGUCGAAAGAUUAGCUAAUACCGGAUAAUAACAUUUACUUGCAUGAGUGAAUGUAGAAAGUUGCGUUUGCAACGCUUUUGGAUGAGGGUGCGACGUAUCAGAUAGUUGGUGAGGUAACGGCUCACCAAGUCAUUGACGCGUAGCUGUACUGAGAGGUAGAACAGCCACAAUGGGACUGAGACACGGCCCAUACUCCUACGGGAGGCAGCAGUAGGGAAUUUUUCACAAUGGGCGAAAGCCUUAUGAAGCAAUGCCGCGUGGACGAUGAAGGUCUAUAAGAUUGUAAAGUUCUUUUAUUUGGGAAGAACCACUAAAAUAGGAAAUGAUUUUAGUUUGACUGUACCAUUUGAAUAAGUAUCGGCUAACUAUGUGCCAGCAGCCGCGGUAAUACAUAGGAUGCAAGCGUUAUCCGGAUUUACUGGGCGUAAAACGAGCGCAGGCGGAUUUGUAAGUUUGGUAUGAAAUCUAGAUGCUUAACGUCUAGCUGUAUCAAAAACUACGAAUCUAGAGUGUAGCAGAGAGUUGGGGAACUCCAUGUGGAGCGGUAAAAUGCGUAGAUAUAUGGAAGAACACCGGUGGCGAAGGCGCCAACUUGGACUAUUACUGACGCUUAGGCUCGAAAGUGUGGGGGAGCAAAUAGGAUUAGAUACCCUAGUAGUCCACACCGUAAACGAUCAUCAUUAAAUGUCGGCUCGCUUAUGAGUCGGUGUUGUAGCUAACGCAUUAAAUGAUGUGCCUGGGUAGUACAUUCGCAAGAAUGAAACUCAAACGGAAUUGACGGGGACCCGCACAAGUGGUGGAGCAUGUUGCUUAAUUUGACAAUACACGUAGAACCUUACCUAGGUUUGACAUCUAUUGCAAUGCUAUAGAAAUAUAGCGGAGGUUAACAAUAUGACAGGUGGUGCAUGGUUGUCGUCAGCUCGUGUCGUGAGAUGUUGGGUUAAGUCCCGCAACGAGCGCAACCCCUUUCGCUAGUUAAUUUAUCUAUCGAUACUGCUACCGCAAGGUAGAGGAAGGUGGGGAUGACGUCAAAUCAUCAUGCCCCUUAUAUCCAGGGCUGCAAACGUGCUACAAUGGCUAAUACAAACAGCUGCAAUACCGUAAGGUGGAGCGAAUCUGAUAAAGUUAGUCUCAGUUCGGAUAGAGGGCUGCAAUUCGCCCUCUUGAAGUUGGAAUCACUAGUAAUCGCGAAUCAGACAUGUCGCGGUGAAUACGUUCUCGGGUCUUGUACACACCGCCCGUCAAACUAUGGGAGCCGGUAAUAUCUGAAACCGUACUGUUAACCUUUUUGGAGGCAUACGUCUAGGGUAGGAUUGGUGACUGGAGUU